GUGAGUCAUCGAAUCUUUGAACGCACAUUGCGCCCGCCAGUAUUCUGGCGGGCAUGCCUGUCUGAGCGUCAUUUCAACCCUCAUACCCCUAGGGUGUGGUGUUGGGGAUCGGCCAAGGCCCGCAAGGGACGGCCGGCCCCUAAAUCUAGUGGCGGACCCGUCGUGGCCUCCUCUGCGAAGUAGUAAUAUUCCGCAUCGGAGAAGCGACGAGCCCCUGCCGUUAAACCCCCAACUUUCUAAGGUUGACCUCAGAUCAGGUAGGAAUACCCGCUGAACUUAAGCAUAUCAAUAAGCGGAGGA
rnacentral:misc_RNA from 1 species